AUUGAACGCUGGCGGCAUGCCUUACACAUGCAAGUCGAGGGGCAGCGCGGGUAGCAAUACCUGGCGGCGACCGGCAAACGGGUGCGGAACACGUACGCAACCUUCCCAAAACUGGGGAAUAGCCCUCCGAAAGGAGGAUUAAUACCCCGUAACAUAACGAAGUGGCAUCACUUUGUUAUUAUAGUUCCGACGGUUUUGGAUGGGCGUGCGCCUGAUUAGGUAGUUGGCGGGGUAACGGCCCACCAAGCCUACGAUCAGUAACUGGUGUGAGAGCACGACCAGUCACACGGGCACUGAGACACGGGCCCGACUCCUACGGGAGGCAGCAGUAGGGAAUAUUGGACAAUGGGGGCAACCCUGAUCCAGCCAUGCCGCGUGAGUGAAGAAGGCCCUCGGGUUGUAAAGCUCUUUUGUCCGGAAAGAAAAGCAAUCGGUUAAUACCCGGUUGUUCUGACGGUACCGGAAGAAUAAGCACCGGCUAACUUCGUGCCAGCAGCCGCGGUAAGGUAGAUGAGU
rnacentral:rRNA from 1 species